UACCAAGUUUCCAACACAACACAACCCAAGCAGAACAGAGAACCAAGACUACUGGAUCAUUCAUCUUUAGUUUCUAAAAAUACUUUUAGCCAGGCGCUCACCUUGUCUGAGGUCUUUCUCACAAACAUUGGGGAGUGGUUAAUUCUGGUCAACAACAAGCACACAGCCAUCAUUGUUGCAUCAUCUGUGCCCUUGCCGCUCUCGCAGGAGUCAGCAAGACGAUGCAUUAGACGUUGAUAAAGUUUGUACCGGUAGAUAAAAACAUUAUCACCUCUCUGUAAAUACAACAAGAUGUUGGUUGUGAUGGAUAUAAUUCAGAAUGAUCCCUUUUUACAUUGCAGGUGGCCUACUCGUUCUCGUCAGCAAAUGCGGCCCAUGCCGGAUGGAAGUGGUGCUGCACAACCUCUGCCCAUGCUCAGCUCUAUGAGGUUACUCUUGAGAUGUGUGGCAUGAUUGACAACGCUGAGAUGGCAUGCAACCAUUAUGAGCUGUAGCCGACCCAUAUCAAAAAGUCUCAAGAGGCAGUGCAGUGUCAUCGCUGCCAUCAAAGGCUUCACAAACCCCUGGAGAAUCCCUGUCAAAUGCUGCCUGCACUUGCCAGAAUCUGGGGCUCCAAUCGAUCCAGAACUUGAAGUUGACGUGCUGCAGGCUGAGGCUGCCAAAGAGCAGUUCAUCCAAGACUGCUUCGUUUCCAAGAGGAAGGGGUUCAUAGGCCGCCCCCCGCCCACCAAAAAAGAAA